UGGCGAUGCAAUAAUUGGGGAAUCUGCAGACAGUGAGAGCCCAUUCACGUGGGAGCCCAUACUGUAUCCUGCUUCCCCCACAGGGCCAGGCCUCCAGGGAUGAGGCUCCAGCUCCCGGGAUGAAGGGCGAGAGAACAUCCCGGCGGUUCCCGGCUGGCAACCCUCGCACCUCUUCCCCACUGCCCCUUCUCCAUACGGGCAUGGCUCCUUCACGGCCCUGUUUGGCGCAGAAGCAGCAGCCAAAGUUUCAUCCCAUUAAAACAUCGUAUUGAGUUAUUUCAGAGAGGGAGGGGACUUUGGUUUCUGCUUCUGUACUAGGCCGAUCGGGACGGAGCCCAGACACCCGUACGGAGGAGUUCAGGUUGGGGCAGCUAAUAAGAUCAGGUAGGAGGAAAUGCCCCCUUCCCAGGUCCCCCCCUCCUGCCCCAGACUGGGGCUAGAGUGGCUGGGAGCCAGGUGCCUGCUGAUGUCUCCGUUUGUUUUGCAGCGAGGAGAAGGUUCAGCCUGGGAGCCGCUGCAUCACGGGAGGGACUGGAGCCCAGACAAAGGCCUCUCACCCCAGAGCUAGUGGGAUAGGAGGAAGGACAAAGACCCCCGUACGGAGGCCAAGUGGGGAGAGCUGCAAAGAUCAGGGAGGGAGCCUUUCCCCAACAUAUACUUUGUUCUGGUCAAAUCCCUGGAGAGAUGUGACGACCCUCAGGUUCUGGGGCAGAGGGAACAAAGGGGUCCUUCCAUAGUUUUUGGCCCAUCAGAGGCCCAUUCACAUAUGAUGUCCUGCUUCCCCCACAGGGCCACACCUCCAGGGAUGAGGCUCCAGCGCCUGCUCCCGGGACGAAGAACAACAGACCAUCAUGAAGGUUCCCGGCCCCCUGACCCUCGCCUGCCUCACCCUCCGUCCGUUCUCCAUGUGGGCAUGGCUCCUUCCCGGUCCUACUUGGCGCAGAAGCAGCAGCCAAAGUUUCCUCCCAUUAAAACAGCCUCUCAAGUUAUUUCAGAGAGGAAGGGGACUUUGGUUUCUGCUUCUGUGCUAGGCUGGUCGGGACGGAGCCCAGACGCCCGUAAGGAGGAGGACAGGUUGGGGCAGCUAAUAAGAUCAGGUAGGAGGAAAUGCCCCCUUCCCAGGUUCCUCCCCCUCCUGCCCCAGGCUGGGGCUAAUGUGGCUGGGAGCCAGGCGCUUGCUGAUGUCUCUGUUUUCUUUGCAGGGAGGGAGCCUUUCCCCAACAUAUACUUUGUUCUGGUCAAAUCCCUGGAGAGAUGUGAUGACCCUCAGGUUCUGGGGCAGAGGGAACAAAGGGGUCCUUCCAUAGUUUUUGGCCCAUCAGAGGCCCAUUCUCAUAUGAUGCCCUGCUUCCUCCACAGGGCCACACCUCCAGGGAUGAGGCUCCAGCGCCAGAAUUAUUAAUGAGAGACCAUCAUGAAGGUUCCCGGCCCCUGACCCUUGCCUCCCUCACCCUCCGUCCGUUCUCCAUGUGGGCAUGGCUCCUUCCCGGUCCUACUUGGCGCAGAAGCAGCAGCCAAGGUUUCCCCCUAUCAAGAACACCUCCAGAGUUAUUCCGGAGCCGGGGGAGACUUGGGUUGCUGCCUCUGUGCCAGGCCGGCCGGGACGGAGCCCAGACACCCGUACGGAGGAGUUCAGGUUGGGGCAGCUAAUAAGAUCAGGUAGGAGGAAAUGCCCCCUUCCCAGGUCCCCCCCUCCUGCCCCAGACUGGGGCUAGAGUGGCUGGGAGCCAGGUGCCUGCUGAUGUCUCCCUUUGUUUUGCAGCGAGGAGAAGGUUCAGCCUGGGAGCCGCUGCAUCACGGGAGGGACUGGAGCCCAGACAAAGGCCUCUCACCCCAGAGCUAAUGGGACAGGGGAAGGACAAAGACCCCCGUAGGGAGGCAAAGUGUGGAAAGGCUCAGAGUUCAGGGACGUGGUUUGGGGAAGCCGCAACCAGCCCAGCAGCAGCCCAGCGGUGCAGGGAAACCCACCAAAAUCCGGAUUUAUGUUGUGACCUUGUGUGGCAGGGGAAGUGUUUCCCAGUGAUCUUGCCAGCUGGAGGAGGAAGGCCUGAUUUAGAGAUCCCUAUAGUUUUAUGGAGAGGGUUUCUCUGUGGUCCACCUGGCCAGGACAAGGAGUGGGAUCCUUUGCCAAGGCUGCGCUGGGGCAGAUUUAGGAUGGCACGACAGUGGCGCUCACGCUGGGCACCAUGCUGCAGAGGGGGCUAAAACAAUGCGGGAGGGGUGCCAAAUUCUAGGGUGGUACAGGCAGGGCCGUAGCUAGGGGGUGGUGAGGUGGGCCCCCAACAGGGGCGCAGGUGAGGGGUGGGGCACAAAAUGGGCUCAUAAAUAUGUCCAUAAAUAUGUCUAGAUAUACAGAUGAUAAUAAUAAAUAUUAUCAUCUAUAUAUUUAUCUGGAACUCCUCCAAGCAAUCAGAAUAACAGCUUGUUUCUUCCUCAGGCGAGAGGCCCGCCAGAACGAGGGGGGAAAGGCUCCCACUUCAGGCCUUUCCCCAACGUUUACAUUGUACUGGCCAAAUCCCUGGAGGGACGUGGCGAACAUCAGGACCACACCUCAAGGAAUGAGGCUCCAGCGCCUGCUCCUGGGACGAAGAACAACAGACCAUCACGGCGGUUCCCGGCCCCUGAUCCUCGCCUGCCUCACCCUCCAUCCGUUCCCCGUGCGGGGGCUCCUUCCCGGCCCUACUUGGUGCAGAAGUAGCAGCCAAGGUUUCCACCCAUCAAAAGCACCUCCAGAGUUAUUCCGGAGCCGGGGGAGACUUGGGUUGCUGCCUCUGUGCCAAGCCGGCCGGGACGGAGCCCAGACACCCGUACGGAGGAGUUCAGGUUGGGGCAGCUAAUAAGAUCAGGGAGGAGAAGGUUCAGCCUGGGAGCUGCUGCAUCACGGGAGGGACUGGAGCCCAGACAAAGGCCUCUCACCCCAGAGGUACUGGGACAGAGGGAAGGAUAAAGACCCCCAUAGGGAGGCAAAGUGUGGAAAGGCUCAGAGUUCAGGUAGGGGGAAAAGCCAAUUGAGUGCUGGAGUGGGGGGGGAGCAGGCCUGUCUUGCCCCACCCCCUCGCCCCCUCCUUCCAAGCCAGGGGUCUGGCCAUUAUGUGCCCAGGCAGGAGCAGUGAUCGUUGGCAGCCAGCGGUGACGUGGGCAUGGGCAGCCUGGCAGGUGUGCUUGUUCUGUCCCCCUCCUUCCCUGGGCCAGCUGGCCAGACACCCUUGCCAGUGGGUGUACUUUGUUCUGGCCAAAUCCCUGGAGAGACGUGAGGACCCUCAGGCACUGGGGCAGAAGGAAAGAAGGGGUCCUUUUGAAACAUGUUUGGGGAGUCGUAGGAACACUGUCCCCUGUGGCUGUUGCCCAAGCCGCCCUUAUAAAAAGAACAGGUAAGAGGAAGGAAAGAUUUCCAUGGGACUAGGAGAACACCCUACAAGUUGAGUGUCAACAGAGAAUGGAAGAACCUUCUUGCAUGAGAGGAGAAAAGAGGUGGUCUCGUCCAGAAGUGGAUUCCUCCACAGGGCCACGCUUCCAGAGAAUGAUCUCCAUCGCCACUUCCCAAGCUGAUGGACAAUAGCAAAACUCCGUCAUCUGUGGCAUUCCAGACUUGCAUUUCUGGAUUGACUCCCAAAAUAUAUGAACAGGAAAGAGCGAUCACAAGCACCAGCUCCUUGAUUAAGCACUUCUCUCAACAUUUGAACUUUGAUGUGAGUAAGCAGGUCUCAAGGUGACUUCUGGACUAAGGCUUAAUGCUGAAAAUUCAGAUUAAUAUUUUCAUAGGGCCACGCUUCCAGAGAAUGGUCUUCGUCGCCACUUCCCAAGCUGAUAGACAAGAGCCAAACUCAGUAUUCUGUGACAUUUCGGUCUGGCUUUUCUGGAUUGUAAAGUCCUUCCAUGUCGCUGGAGGAAUCUAUGCUACUCAGUGCCUUGCAUGUUUUCACGGAUGUCCUGGUUGCUGUCUGAAUGUGUCCUUCCCUGAAAGCGGAGAGCAGCAUGACUGGCACAUGUUAAAACUAAACAAAGAAAUUAGAGCAAUUGGUUGCUUUCGAUAUGCCAAUGAUCAAAUAAUAUUUCAUAAUAAAUAGUGUUAAAAAGGAAAUAAGCUGUUUUCUGUCCUUCUCUGCCUUCUCUGACUGCUACUGCGAGCUCUGCUUAAGAAGGCUGGAGCCAGCUGGUUUUCAUCAGCACUUUCUUCUUGGAGUCCUUGAAGCAGCAGGUGAAGUCACUCCCCCUUUUACCCUUCAGGCUGCUGUUCAGCAGGUGAAGCAGAUUCCUGCCCCAUGACACUAUCCCACUCCCCAAGGUGCG